GGGCAGUGCUCUGAAGGGAACAGAGCUUGUUCAAGCCGGCCUGGUACCAGCGCUGCUCGCAUGCGCCCCGCUCUGCUCGAGCCCACAGUCACCCUGCUCAGCACUGAGCCACAGGGUCCCACGGGGACGAGGAUGGAUGAAGACGGGAAGGGGGCAUGUGUCUUGUCAUCGGGCAGCUUCACUGUGGGCUAGACUCCACCAGCACAGAGUUCAGAAGCCUCUCUCAAGGACCUCCUCCAGCUCCCCAGCCCAGGCCUGGCGAGGUUACCUCGGCCCUCUGAGCAUGUUGGCUCCCUUGUUCGCUGACAUGUCCCCUUCUUCCUCAGCAGCCCACACUUCCUCUGUCCAUGUGCCUGUGUGUGUUCCCUGUUGUUUGUGAACGUGUCCAUAACUUUGGCCGCCACUUGUACCAUCAGUCUGUCGCUCCCUGAACCUGUGGCCUGCUGCUCUCCUGAGGUGUGGCAGCCGGCAGGGCUUGGUCAUGGCACCAAACGGCCUUCUCCUUGAAGGGACAAAAUGAUUGGAAGAGAACUAAAGGCACCCUAGGGGAUGCAGGAGGAUGGGUACCCACGAUGCUACAUUUAUCUUUGCAACAUUUCUGUGAAAAGAAUUAUUCCAGAAUUAUUCCAGAAAAGGGGGUAGGGUGCCAUCUUUCUCUGUGGGUCAUUGUUAUUUAAUUCAGGGUACUACACCAGUCCGUUUCAGGGCUUCCUGGAGUUAUCAGAACUGACACGUGAGUGGCACAUGCCCAGCGCUCUGUGAAACACUGCUUUGAUGCUUGUUCCUGCUCGAUGCUUAAACAGGAAAAUGAUUACGUUUGUCUGUGUAACCUAGGUUCACAAGACCAAGUCGGCCUUUGUGGAUGGAUUACUAGCUUGCAUGAGAAAGGGCUCCAUUUCAUCUACGUGGAAUCAGACUGGAACUGUGACUGGAAGACUUUCAGCCAGGCAUCCGCCCAUCAGAGGCACCUCAUGUGGUGCUUGGAAGCUGCUGCUGCUGCUGCUGCUGCUGCUGCUGCUGCUGCUGCUGCUGCUGCUACUGUCAUACAGAGACCAGGACAAAGGGAAGCCAGCUGUGACCUUCAUUGUAAUGAUCACUGCCAUUCAGCCUCAUUCCAGAGGUUCCAAGGAUGGAUGCUAGAGACAGGUCUGCCGUCAUUGUUGCUGUAUUUCUGCUGCCUCCUUGGUAUGGCAUCUGCAGUUUGGACACUUCGGCCACACUGCAGAGGACUGAUGGUGGCCAUCUCCAGGCCCACACAGCACCUGAGUAGGAGGGCCAUGGGAGAAUGGACCUCCUGGGUGCCGCUGCCUUCCCCCAUAGUUAAAACUGUUCCUUGCUUGACAUUUUCACUUACAACUACUGACAUUUUAACAAAUGCUAAAUUGUAGACUUAAAAUGUCACCUCUGCACCUUGCCUUUUGCUGAAUGUGAAAUAAAGGCUGUUAACAUUGAAUU
rnacentral:lncRNA from 1 species